rnacentral:rRNA from 1 species
CUUUCUUUGCUGGCGACCGGCGCACGGGUGAGUAACACGUAUCCAACCUGCCCUUUACUCGGGGAUAGCCUUUCGAAAGAAAGAUUAAUACCCGAUAGUAUAAUGAUUCCGCAUGGUUUCAUUAUUAAAGGAUUCCGGUAAAGGAUGGGGAUGCGUUCCAUUAGGUUGUUGGUGAGGUAACGGCUCACCAAGCCUUCGAUGGAUAGGGGUUCUGAGAGGAGGGUCCCCCACAUUGGAACUGAGACACGGUCCAA